rnacentral:tRNA from 1 species
GCUGGAAUAGCUCAUCAGGUAGAGCAUCGGUUUCGUAAACCGAAGGUAGUGAGUUCGAGUCUCACUUCCAGCU